UACGGAGGGUGCAAGCGUUAUCCGGAUUCACUGGGUUUAAAGGGUGCGUAGGUGGGCUAGUAAGUCAGUGGUGAAAUCUCCGGGCUUAACCCGGAAACUGCCAUUGAUACUAUUAGUCUUGAAUGUUGUAGAGGUAAGCGGAAUAUGUCAUGUAGCGGUGAAAUGCUUAGAUAUGACAUAGAACACCGAUAGCGUAGGCAGCUUACUACGAAAAUAUUGACGCUGAGACACGAAAGCGUGGGGAUCAAACAGG
rnacentral:rRNA from 1 species